UUUCAAGCAAGACGAGCCUUCAUUGACAGUGAUGCCCUAAAAGAAGAAGAUAGGCCCACAAAGAUUCUGGAUGCUUAUCCAUGUUUCAAGGAUCUUCGUAAUGUGAUGGGUGAGCUGUGUCGGAUCUUGGAUAAGGGCAACAGCAAAUUCAUAGAUGGGUUAAAGAAAAGAUGGCAAGACUUCUGCGCCAAGGUGCAGUUUUAUGCUGUUUGGAAGAAAGUGAUGAAGCCACCCAUGACCCUGGAUGGAGUGGAAUAUGCCAUGGCACUAUUCAGGGCACUCCCCACACUCUUU